rnacentral:rRNA from 1 species
UACGUAGGCAGCAAGCGUUGUUCGGAAUUACUGGGCGUAAAGAGUGUGUAGGCGGUGCUCUAAGUUUGGUGUGAAAUCUCCCGGCUCAACUGGGAGGGUGCAUCGAAAACUGGAGUGCUCGAGGGUGGGAGAGGUAAGCGGAAUUCCUGGUGUAGCGGUGAAAUGCGCAGAUAUCGGGAAGAACACCCGUGGCGAAGGCGGCUCUCUGGGACGGUACUGACGCUGAGACGCGAAAGCGUGGGGAGCGAACAGG